rnacentral:rRNA from 1 species
CAAUAGCGUAUAUUUAAGUUGUUGCAGUUAAAAAGCUCGUAGUUGGAUUUCGGGUGGGACGCAGCGGUCUCGCAUUGCGUUUGUACUGCUGCAGCCCUCCUUCUUGCCGGGGGCGGCCUCCCGGACUUCACUGUCUGGGGGUCAGAAUCGGCGAUGUUACUUUGAGUAAAUUAGAGUGUUCAAAGCAAGCUUACGCUCUGAAUAUAAUAGCAUGGGAUAACACGACAGGACUCUGGCCUAUCGUGUUGGUCUAUAGGACCAGAGUAAUGAUUAAGGGGGACAGUCGGGGGCAUUCGUAUUCCGUUGUCAGAGGUGAAAUUCUUGGAUUUACGGAAGACGAACAUCUGCGAAAGCAUUUGCCAAGGAUGUUUUCAUUG